UAAUAUUUUCUUAUUUUUACUUAUUUUUAUUAUAAUAUUAUUUUAUUUUUUUUUAGUAAUAUUAUUAAAAUAAUUUUUAUUUUUAACUGAUUAGGUUUUUAUUAUUAUUAUUAAUUCAUUUUUAGUACCUUUUGUAUCAUGGUUGAUUUAAUAUUUUAUUUAUAAUUUUUUUCCCGAGAAUUAGAUAUUUAUUUUUAUAUUUUUUUUAAUGUUUUAUAUUUAUUUAUAAUUUAAAAAUGGUAAUUAAAAGUUAAUCGUUCUUUUUAUAUCUGGUUACUUUAGAAAUUAAUUUAAUUAAGGAUUGAUGGUUGAUUUUUAUUUAAAAUUUGUUUUUCUUAAAUUUCUUAGGAUAAGCUAAGUUUUUAUUUAAAAUUUUUUUUUUAUUCAAUUUUACAGCUUUAAUAUUAUGCAUUUUUAGUUUUUAAUAUAUUAAUUUAUUUAAAUUUAAUUUUUUUAUAUUUAUUUUUUUAUAAGGUUUAUUUAUUGAAUAAAAUUUUAUUUAAAAUACUGAUUAAAUUAGUAUAAUUUUAAUUUAUAUUUUAUGAACUCGACAUAUUUAAUUUUCAACUGUUUAUCAAAAACAUUUCUUUUAGUAAAAUUUUAAAAGUAAAUUCUGCCCUAUGAUUAUUUAAAUGGCUGCAGUAUUCUGACUGUGCAAAGGUAGCAUAAUAAUUAGUCUUUUAAUUGAAGGCUGGUAUGAAUGAAUAGAUGAGGGAUUAAUUUUAUUUUUUUUAAUUUUAUAAUUUGAUUUUUAGGUAAAAAAGCCUAAUUUUUUUUUUGGGACGAUAAGACCCUAUAGAACUUUAAUUUUAAUAAGUUUUAUGUAUUUUUUAGUAAAUUUAUCUUUUAAUUUUAUUAAUUUUUUUUCUGGGGCGGAAGAUAAAUUUGACUUUAUUUUUUUAAUUCAUUUAAUUUAUGUAAUUUAGAUCCAAUAAUGAUUUUAAGAUUAAGUUACCUUAGGGAUAACAGCGUUAUUUUAAUGAGGAGUUCUUAUCUAUAUUAAAGUUUGCGACCUCGAUGUUGAAUUAAGAUUAGAUUGAGGGGCAGGUUUUUCAUUUCUAAGUCUGUUCGACUUUUAAAUUCUUACAUGAUUUGAGUUCAAACCGGUGUAAGCCAGGUUGGUUUCUAUCUAGAAAUAUUAAGAUUUUUUUAGUACGAAAGGACCAUUAAAUCCAAUUUAUAUUGUGUUGAAAUAAUGCUA